AGAAUGCAUAUGCCAAAUUCCAGAGCAAUGGAAGCGGGGGAUCCAACCACGGGUGAAUUGAUCUUGCUACUAAGGGAUCAUAGGGGACCUUCAACCGAACCCUACAGCUAACCUCGCAGGCAGCGGAAGGAGUUAUU
rnacentral:sRNA from 2 species